CUGCAGCCCGAGUGGUGAUCGAUUUUAUUGAGCCUAAAGCGUCCGUAGCCGGACUAGUAAACCCUUGGGUAAAUUGGGCAGCGUAACUGUCCAAAUUCCGAGGGGACUGCUAGUCUUGGGACCGGGAGAGGUCAGAGGUACUCAGGGGGUAGGGGCUAAAUCCUGUAAUCCUUUGGGGACCACCAGUGGCGAAGGCGUCUGACUAGAACGGAUCCGACGGUAAGGGACGAAACCCUGGGGCGCGAACCGGAUUAGAUACCCGAGUAGUCC
rnacentral:rRNA from 1 species